UGAUGCCCUAGCUAGGACGGUUUCUUCGUCAUUUUACGCCUUUUCUUUCCACAAAACACAAACUCACUCGAACAAAACCUCCUCAACGACAUGAAUCAGCGCUCAAACUUUCCUCUCUCCUCCUUUCAGUUACAAAAUUAAUCCAUAAUUUCUUCCAGUUUGCUUCCUCAACCCCUCGAAAUCGAACCAUUUUUCAAUUUCACUUCAGAUCCGCUGCAUUUUUUACCUGGAUUUUCCACCAAUUUUACGAUCUCCCAUUUCCGUACAAAAUCGACUUCGUCUGCUCAAUUGUCCUGUUUUUUUCAUUUUUAUCUACAGUUAUACCCUGUCGAGAAACCCUAGAUUUUUGUCUGUCUUCUUUUGUAUAAAAUUUUUCAUUAUUUCUCAAUCUCAGAUAGAUAUUGUAGAAUCCAUUGUUUGUUGUGACUAUUAACUGUUAUAGGUUUCGGUAGUUCGCACUCUUUUUGCACAAAUUUUUGGAUUCGAAUUGUGGUUGGCUAAGUAGUAGUUAGGGUUAGGGUUUGUUAGUGAUGAACAACAACAACAACAACAAUAACAAUAGAGGGCGGUAUCCGCCAGGAAUUGGCGCCGGAAGAGGCGCAGGUAUGAACGCGAACCCCAGUUUUCAAUCAAGGGUUCCGCAACAGCAGUAUGUUCAGAGAAAUAUGAUGCAGAAUCACCAUCAGCAGUUCCAACAUCAGCAACAUCAUCAACAUCAUCUUCAGCAGCAACAGCAGCAGCAGCAACAGCAGCAGCAGUGGUUAAGAAGGAGCCAACUACCUCCUGCAGAUUCCAGCGUUGACGAGGUGGAAAAGACCGUUCAGUCCGAGGCUGUGGACUCCACUUCACAAGAUUGGAAGGCCAGGCUAAAGAUACCACCACCUGAUACACGCUACAAAACAGAGGAUGUCACAGCCACAAAAGGAAAUGAAUUUGAGGACUAUUUUCUGAAACGAGAACUGCUUAUGGGAAUUUACGAGAAGGGGUUUGAAAGACCUUCUCCUAUUCAGGAAGAGAGCAUUCCAAUUGCUCUUACUGGUAGCGACAUUCUUGCUAGAGCUAAAAAUGGCACUGGGAAAACAGCAGCAUUUUGCAUUCCUGCCUUGGAAAAAAUUGACCAAGAUAACAAUGUUAUUCAAGUUGUUAUACUUGUUCCAACAAGGGAGUUGGCUCUUCAAACAUCACAAGUUUGUAAGGAGCUUGGGAAGCAUUUGAAAAUUCAAGUAAUGGUUACCACAGGUGGUACAAGUCUAAAAGAUGACAUAAUGCGUUUAUAUCAACCGGUCCAUUUAUUAGUUGGGACUCCUGGAAGAAUACUAGAUCUUGCAAAAAAGGGUGUUUGCGUUUUGAAAGAUUGUUCAAUGCUUGUUAUGGAUGAGGCCGAUAAGCUUUUGUCUCCUGAAUUUCAACCUUCUGUGGAGCAGCUGAUUCGUUUUCUUCCUCCAACUCGUCAGAUUUUGAUGUUUUCUGCAACAUUUCCUGUUACUGUUAAGGACUUCAAGGAUAGAUUCUUGCAGAAGCCUUAUGUUAUCAAUCUUAUGGAUGAGCUUACCCUUAAGGGUAUUACACAAUUUUAUGCUUUUGUCGAAGAACGGCAGAAAGUCCAUUGUCUAAAUACUCUUUUCUCUAAGCUUCAAAUAAAUCAAUCGAUCAUUUUCUGCAAUUCGGUGAAUCGGGUAGAACUGUUGGCAAAGAAGAUCACAGAGCUUGGCUAUUCUUGCUUUUAUAUUCACGCAAAGAUGUUACAAGAUCAUCGCAACAGAGUCUUUCAUGAUUUCCGCAAUGGUGCAUGCCGGAAUCUUGUUUGCACUGAUUUAUUUACUAGGGGUAUAGACAUCCAAGCAGUUAAUGUGGUUAUCAACUUUGAUUUCCCCAAGAAUUCUGAGACCUAUCUUCACAGGGUUGGUCGAUCAGGAAGGUUUGGACACCUUGGUUUGGCUGUCAAUCUGAUUACCUAUGAAGACCGCUUUAACUUGUAUAGGAUUGAGCAAGAACUCGGAACUGAAAUUAAGCAAAUUCCUCCACAUAUUGAUCAGGCAAUAUAUUGCCGGUAACUUGUGGUAGAAUUUUCGCCCCUCAAUCAACAACGGUGAGUAGCAACAAGGGGUGGCAAUGGUUCAAGCUGGCUGCCAAAGAUGAAUGUAGCUCUGCAUCCGAGGGUGACUUUUACGAAUUAAGUAUUGUUGAUGGAGACUUCGAUUGCUGUAUGCAUUGAACCCUGGAAUGCUUUUGUUUGUUUCUGGAUUUUCAUAGCCUGAGACCUUAACAGGAUUAUAGGUUAGAGUUUUAAUGGUUUAUAAAUCCCAGAUAGAUGCUGGGUCCAGUUUGUGUUGUGUUGGAUUUCCAUAACAGACUGGUUUGGUAUUAUCAGCUUUAGUAUCACUGUUGAAUUUAAGGCUGUACUCUGGAAAGAAAUAUCCUCUCCUCCCUUGCCCCUUCUCCCAUCCAACACAUUACUAAUGGCAAUGACUGAAAAGAAAAUAAAAGAAAUCUCUAUUUCUAUUGGA